GCCCUCAUAGCUCAAUCGGUAGAGCAACGGCCUUUUAAGCCGGUGGUUGGAGGUUCGAGUCCUCCUGGGGGCA
rnacentral:tRNA from 1 species